AGGUGAAGUCACAGAAGAUUUGCUCAUCUGGACAAUCUACAAAUUCAGGGAUUGGACGACAAUCAUCAAAAAAUAAGAACGAGCAAUCUUUUGAGCCAGUCGACUCCACAACUGCCCUAAUCUUUAAAAGCCCAGAGAUGGAGACAGAAGUUGCCCCUGAAAUGCCUAAUGCAGUUAACCCAGAAUCAGCUAAGGAUGGUUCAAAUGAUCUCAAAUUCUCAGAUUUAGAGAUGGUUGAAUCUAGUUAUGGCUUGUGUUCUGAAAGAGAAGAACAUUUGAAAUCC